AGUGGCAAACGGGCGAGUAACGCGUACUUAACCUACCUAGAAGUUGAGAAUAACUUUAGAGAUAGAGCUAAUUCUCAAUAGUACCUGACUGCUGAAAUGCUAUCAGGUUAAAGAUUUAUCGCUUCUGGAGGGGGGUGCUAUCUAUCAGGUAUUAGGUGACGUAACUGCUCACCAAGCCUAUGACGGCUAGCCGGUCUGAGAGGAUGUCCGGCCGCAAUGGGACUGAGACACGGUCCAUACUCCUACGGGAGGCAGCAGUGGGGAAUUUUGCGCAAUGGACGAAAGUCUGACGCAGCAAUCUCGCGUGAAGGAUGAAGCAUUAAGGUGUGUAAACUUCUUUGUUGGUGGAAGACGAAUGACGGUACACCAAGAAUAAGGGACGGCUAACUACGUGCCAGCAGCCGCGGUAAUACGUAGGUCCCAAGUGUUAUCCGGAAUUACUGGGCGUAAAGAGUCUGUAGCCUGAUAUAUAAGUCUGUUUUCAAAUACCGCAGCUCAACUGCGGACAGGGAAUAGAUACUGUAUAUCUUGAGAUUGUUAGGGGUUAGUGGAAUUUCCGGUGGAAGCCGGUGAAAUGCGUUGAUAUCGGAAGGAACGCCAAAAGCGAAAGCAGCUAACUAUAACAAAUCUGACGGUCAGAGACGAAAGCUUGGGUAGCAAAUGGGAUUAGAUACCCCGGUAGUCCAAGCUGUAAAUUUUGCUUGCUAGGUGUUUUGACCCGCUCUGCGGGUUGGAGUGCCGUAAUCUAACGAGUUAAGCAAGCCGCCUGGGUAGUAUAUUCGCAAGAAUGAAACUCAAAGGGAUAGGCGGGGGAACAAACAAGCAGUGGAUUGUCUCGAUUAAUUGGAUAUAAAGCCAAAAAUCUUACCUAGACUUGACAUGUACUGUGUCCAAUGCGAAAGUAUUGUAGUCCGGUUUCGGCCGGACACGGUAUACAGGUGGUGCAUGGUCGUCGUCAGCUCGUGCCGCAAGGUGUCCAGUUAAGUCUGGGAACGAGCGCAACCCUCACUCUAUGUUAGAAUGUCAUAGAGGACUGCCCCGGUAACGGGGAGGAAGGAGAGGAUGACGUCAGAUCCUCAUGCCCCUUACGUUUAGGGCUUCAUAGACAAUACAAUGGGUAGUACAGCGGGAAGCGAAAUCGCGAGAUGGAGCAAAUCCUACAAAACUAUCCCUAGUUCGGAUUGUAGUCUGGAAUUCGACUACAUGAAGUCGGAAUUGCUGGUAAUGGCAGGUCAGCAUACUGCCGUGAAUAUGUCCCUGUUCCUUGCACUCACCGCCCGUCAAACCAUGGGAGUU
rnacentral:rRNA from 1 species